rnacentral:rRNA from 1 species
AUUGAACGCUGGCGGAAUGCUUUACACAUGCAAGUCGAACGGUAGAGGGGGCAACCCCUCGAGAGUGGCGAACGGGUGAGUAAUAUAUCGGAACGUGCCCAGUCGUGGGGGAUAACGUAGCGAAAGUCACGCUAAUACCGCAUACGAUCUAAGGAUGAAAGCGGGGGAUCGCAAGACCUCGCGCGAUUGGAGCGGCCGAUAUCAGAUUAGGUAGUUGGUGGGGUAAAGGCUCACCAAGCCAACGAUCUGUAGCUGGUCUGAGAGGACGACCAGCCACACUGGAACUGAGACACGGUCCAGACUCCUACGGGAGGCAGCAGUGGGGAAUUUUGGACAAUGGACGCAAGUCUGUUCCAGCCAUUCCGCGUGCAGGAUGAAGGCCCUCGGGUUGUAAACUGCUUUUGUACGGAACGAAAAGGUCUCUCUUAAUACGGGGGGCUCAUGACGGUACCGUAAGAAUAAGCACGGGCUAACUACGUGCCAGCCGCCGCAGUAA